rnacentral:rRNA from 1 species
UCGAGAAUCUUCUGCAAUGGGCGCAAGCCUGACAGAGCGACGCCGCGUGGAGGAUGAAGGCCCUCGGGUUGUAAACUCCUGUCACACGUUAUGAAAUGUACGGGUUACACCCGUGCACUGACAAAGGCGUGGGAGGAAGUCACGGCUAACUUCGUGCCAGCAGCCGCGGUAAGACGAAGGUGGCUAGCGUUAUUCGGAUUCACUGGGCAUAAAGCGCGCGUAGGCGGCUCUUCAAGUCGGAGGUGAAAGCCUGCAGCUCAACUGCGGAACGGCCUUCGAUACUGUCGAGCUUGAGUGCAGGAGGGGUGAUCGGAACUCCAGGUGUAGCGGUGAAAUGCGUAGAUAUCUGGAGGAACACCGGAGGCGAAGGCGGAUCACUGGACUGUCACUGACGCUGAGGCGCGAAAGCUAGGGGAGCAAACAGGAUUAGAUACCCCCGUAGUCC